rnacentral:rRNA from 1 species
GUGCCAGCAGCCGCGGUAAUACGUAGGUGGCAAGCGUUAUCCGGAAUUAUUGGGUGUAAAGCGCGCGUAGGCGGUUUUUUAAGUCUGAUGUGAAAGCCCACGGCUCAACCGUGGAGGGUCAUUGGAAACUGGAAAACUUGAGUGCAGAAGAGGAAAGUGGAAUUCCAUGUGUAGCGGUGAAAUGCGCAGAGAUAUGGAGGAACACCAGUGGCGAAGGCGACUUUCUGGUCUGUAACUGACGCUGAUGUGCGAAAGCGUGGGGAUCAAAC